rnacentral:rRNA from 1 species
AUUGAACGCUGGCGGAAUGCUUUACACAUGCAAGUCGAACGGUAGAGGGGGCAACCUCUCGAGAGUGGCGAACGGGUGAGUAAUAUAUCGGAACGUGCCCAGUCGUGGGGGAUAACGUAGCGAAAGUUACGCUAAUACCGCAUACGAUCUACGGAUGAAAGCGGGGGACUCGCAAGAGCCUCGCGCGAUUGGAGCGGCCGAUAUCAGAUUAGGUAGUUGGUGGGGUAAAGGCUCACCAAGCCAACGAUCUGUAGCUGGUCUGAGAGGACGACCAGCCACACUGGAACUGAGACACGGUCCAGACUCCUACGGGAGGCAGCAGUGGGGAAUUUUGGACAAUGGACGCAAGUCUGAUCCAGCCAUUCCGCGUGCAGGAUGAAGGCCCUCGGGUUGUAAACUGCUUUUGUACGGAGCGAAACGGCUUUUUCUAAUACAAGAAGCUAAUGACGGUACCGUAAGAAUAAGCACCGGCUAACUACGUG